AUCCAGCUAACGAGUCCUAGAUAGGAUGGAACACGUGUCCUGAAU
rnacentral:hammerhead_ribozyme from 1 species